rfam:Penicillium coprophilum strain IBT 31321 PENCOP_contig001, whole genome shotgun sequence.
GCCUUCGUGGUCUAGUUGGUUAUGACGUCGGUCUCAUAUCCCUUCAAACCUGUUAAGGUUUCAUAUGACAUUCUUGGUAACAAGAUUGACAUCCGAAGGUCUCCAGUUCGAACCUGGACGAGGGCA